GAUGAACGCUGGCGGCGUGCCUAACACAUGCAAGUCGAACGAGGUAAAUAAGAUGAAGUUUUCGGAUGGAUUCUUAUUUACCGAGUGGCGGACGGGUGAGUAACGCGUGGGUAACCUGCCUCAUACAGGGGGAUAACGAUUGGAAACGAUUGCUAAUACCGCAUAAGCGCACAGUACCACAUGGUACGGUGUGAAAAACUCCGGUGGUAUGAGAUGGACCCGCGUCUGAUUAGCUAGUUGGUGAGGUAACGGCCCACCAAGGCAACGAUCAGUAGCCGACCUGAGAGGGUGACCGGCCACAUUGGGACUGAGAUACGGCCCAGACUCCUACGGGAGGCAGCAGUGGGGAAUAUUGGGCAAUGGGCGCAAGCCUGACCCAGCAACGCCGCGUGAAGGAAGAAGGCUUUCGGGUUGUAAACUUCUUUUAAGAGGGAAGAGCAGAAGACUGUACCUCUAGAAUAAGCCACGGCUAACUACGUG
rnacentral:rRNA from 1 species